UACGUAGGGUGCAAGCGUUAAUCGGAAUUACUGGGCGUAAAGCGUGCGCAGGCGGCCUCUUAAGUCAGAUGUGAAAUCCCCGGGCUUAACCUGGGAACUGCGUUUGAAACUGGGAGGCUAGAGUGUGGAAGAGGGGGGUGGAAUUCCAGGUGUAGCAGUGAAAUGCGUAGAGAUCUGGAGGAACACCGAUGGCGAAGGCAGCCCGCUGGGCUGACACUGACGCUCAUGCACGAAAGCGUGGGGAGCAAACAGG
rnacentral:rRNA from 1 species